GAUCGGCAGCGCGCACAGUCGGUCGUCGUUCCUCGAGCCGAUCGGUCUCCUACAUCGCGGACUGUCCUCUCUCUCUCUAUAUAUAUAUAUAUAUACACUAUAAGACACGUUGCAUACUCGGAAAUCGCUGUCCCUGGAUAUACGGAGCAGCUCGUGUAUUUUGGAUUUUUUCUUCGAGGACCAAGGACAUGGGAGCUUCGAAGGACGGCAAGCACAACCCCGCCUUCCUGGGGGACGACGGCCUGGAGCUGGAGGGCCUGGACGCGACUGGGCAGUACAGGAUCCCGAGCUCGUGCAGCCUUCCCAAGGACGAGCCUCGAGCGCCUCGAGCGCCUCUGGUGCUGGCGUCCAGCUUGGAGAAGACGGCCGGCCAGUCUCGGGAGCGACAGACCUGGGACAGCAGCGUCGAGUUCCUCAUGUCCUGCAUCGCCAUGUCCGUGGGUCUGGGCAACGUGUGGAGGUUUCCCUUCACGGCUUACGAGAACGGCGGCGGAGCUUUCCUCAUACCCUACAUCGUGGUGCUGUUAAUCGUCGGCAAGCCCUGUUACUACCUGGAGAUGAUAGUCGGCCAGUUCACGAGCAGGUCGUCGGUGAAGAUGUGGUCGGUGGCACCUUGUCUUCGCGGCGUCGGCUGGGCGCAGAUGUUCUCGAUGGUCGCGGUGGCCACCUACUACUGCUCGCUCAUGUCCGUCACCAUGUACUACCUCAUCGGGAGCUUUCAGGCCCCGCUGCCCUGGUCCGAGUGUCUGGACGAGUGGGCCGACGUUUGCGUGGACUCGGGCAGACAGGCGAAUGCUACCGAUGACAGGGGCAACCGCACCGGGCUGAGGAGCUCAGCCGAGCUGUACUUCACGAAGACCGUGCUCAAGGAGAAGUCCAGCAUAGAGGACGGCCUGGGCCUUCCGGACUGGCGGCUGAGCCUCUGCCUCCUGUUCGCCUGGCUCUGCAUCUUCGCCGUCCUGAUCAAGGGCGUCCAGAGCUCCGGCAAAGCGGCCUACUUCCUGGCCCUCUUCCCCUACGCCAUAAUGUUCGCUCUGCUGGCGCGCGCCGUGACGCUAGAGGGCGCCGCGAACGGGAUCCUCUUCUUCAUCAAGCCCGACUGGAACAAGCUCUUCGAGGCGGACGUCUGGUACGCCGCCGUCACCCAGUGCUUCUUCUCCCUGUCCGUCUGCUUCGGCGGACUCAUCACUUAUUCUUCCUACAACGGAUUCAGGCACAACAUUUACCGGGACGUCAUGGUAGUCACCACGCUGGACACGAUGACGAGUCUCAUGGCCGGCUUCACGAUCUUCGGCAUCCUGGGCAACUUGGCCCACGAACUCGGCACCGACGACAUCGGCAACGUCGUUCGAGGCGGCUCCGGACUGGCCUUCAUAUCCUACCCCGACGCCAUAGCCAAGUUCACCGUCUUGCCGCAGCUGUUCUCGGUGCUCUUCUUCCUCAUGCUGUACGUCCUGGGAAUCGGCAGUGGAAUAGCUCUGGCCGGUGGCAUCAUCAGCAUCGUCAACGACCAGUUCCCCAGCUGGAAGCACUGGCACAUCGUCCUAGCAACGUGUCUCAUAGGAUUCGGCGUCGGAACCGCCUACUGCACACCGGGAGGACAGUUCGCUCUGGGAUUGGUGGACUACUACGCGGCCUCCUUUGUGGUCUUCGUACUGGCGAGUCUCGAGGUAACCGGUGUUUUCUGGCUCUACGGCCUGGAGAACUUCCUCGACGACGUCGAAUUCAUGCUGGAACGCAGGCCGUCCGUUUACUGGCGCGUCUGCUGGACUGUACUCACGCCCUUCAUGCUCAUUACCAUAUUCGUCUACACCGUGGUGAACCUCACCCCCUUGACUUACGGGGGAACUGCCUAUCCGGAUUCCGCGCAUGGUUGGUUAUAUAUUGCCGCUCUAUAUUGUUAGUUCUCGGUAUUGAUUAAAAUUUUAUUUAUACCUUUAUUAUCCCGUUGAUUUAUGUCUUACGAGUUUAUCGGAGAGUUUUACACGUUUUUGAGCCGUUAGUCACACUACACUCGCCGCUGGAUGGACGCUGCUGGCCUUCGGUGUGCUCCAGGUGCCCUUCUGGUGCGUCUACACCGUCGUCUCGAAGAGAAGGCUCGGCAUGCCAGAGAUGAUCCUGGCGUCGAUGAAGCCGAGCGACGACUGGGGCCCUCUGAGCGAGUCGAACCUCCAGGCUUGGCGUCAGUUCAAAGAGACUCGACGGAUAAAGCGCGAAAAACGCCGAGCUUCGAAGCUCCGGCAGUUCCUCUGCGUCCUCGUCGGCUGUGAAUACAAGCUCGAUUGAGACUCUCCAUUGUGAUCAUCGUGUCCUUAUUUAUUGUCUCCUGUACACUCUUCGUCGUCCGAACUCAGUAUUACCAUGAUUACGUAUGCGUGCGAGCGUGUGAUUCAGCGAUACUCCUGUGAUUUUUAUACGUAAACGUGUGUGUGUGCGUGUGUUUGGCUAUAUUACUGCAUUAUAGUGUAGUAUGACAAUAAACGCAUUUUGUACCGUUAAUA